GAGCCUGAUCGCGGGCAGCGGUCUGUUUUGCGGCCGUUUCUGGGCCCGCUCGCCGUGGCCGCCUGACGAAGGGAAAAUCCUGCGGGCCAGCCCGCUGGAUCAUCCGUCCACAUCGGCAGGAAAACAUGGUGAUGUGUUCCACAACAGCAUAUAAGCAACGUGCACUUGGCGGGUUGCACUUUGAGGGGGACUUGGAGUAAUUUGCAGCUUGGCUAUGGAACCACACUGAAUCUUGAC